UUGGGAAGGGUGGAAAGGUACAGAGAGCUCAGAGAUUUCUAGCAGAUGUUAAGCCUGAUGCACACAUCCUUUGCACAACAGCAAGUGGCUGGGUAGGGAGAAUACAAAGAGGCAUGACUGACAUAAGCACAGUCACCAUGCCAAUGAGCACAAGUGGCUGUAUAUAUUAAUAGGCCAGAGGGAAGAUGUGAAUGCACCAGGAGUGCAAGCUACUGAAGGUGAGCUCCAUCAUCAAUAAUAUGUGGAGCUGAAGUUUCAAGGAGUCCCCUUGGUUGUUCUCCAGCAGCAGCCAGCACAUCAAAUCGCAGCCUGCAUCUUUCCACCCCUCUUUUGUUGCAGAAGAGGGCCAGCUGCCUCCAUGCCCUUUUCUCCCUGAGCAGCAGGUGGGAAGAGGCAAGCAAGCUCAUCUUGGACUCUGCUGUUGUAAGAGACUGGUCGAGGAACAACUCGUACAAGAGCUAUGAUCUCACCUUUUUCUUCUUCUUCCUCCUCCCUUCAUGACCAACCACAACCUAUCCCACAGGAAGUAUUUCCAAGAGAAUCAUGUAUCACUGACAUCUUCAUCAUAAACCACUUAAAACCAGAAUCAAAGAAUUACCUUUAGACAUUUCCAUUGAAGUUGUUUUCAAGAAAAAUAUGAAGAGAAAAACUCUGCUCUUCCUGAUAAGCUUAUAAAUCUGGUGCAACUCUACUGAAAUCAAGAAAUAAGGCCUGGAAAUUUUAUCUUCUGGCUCAGAAAAGAGGACUCUACAACAGGCCUGAUUCAUUGUGGAGGAAAACUAACUCCACACCAAAUGUUCAUAUUAAUUUGAUAAUUCGAUUUAGGACUUGACUGGUGAGGCAAGGUGACCCCUAAAGUAAUGAGUUUAGUCAACUUGAGCCAUUCUUAAAAUGUUGUAAGAUAUUACUGAAGAAGGGCGCAGAUUUGGAAUGUAUUAUUACUGAGUGACUGCAAAGCCUAGUCCCAGACUGUGAUGCAAGUAUGAUGGGUGCAGAAAAAAAUGGAGAAUAAGGACAGUAAGUCCCACAUACUUUUCCAGGUAUAGGGGAGAUGUAUAAUAUUCAAGUAUUAGUUCACUACUACAAUACUUGUAGAAGAUCUUUGUUCUGUGUCCUGUUGUCCAAGCUCAGUAAAAUGCAGAUCUUACAAGUGUCUAGUCUUGGAAAGCUCACCCAUCAAAAAAGGCACUUUUCCAAAUGUCCUGCUGUGAAUGGCAGCCUGGCCCCAAACCAAUUCAUCUGAUCCACGUGAAGAAGUGAAUGGAAUAAUUUGCACAGGUCCAUGUCCUUUCUGUGCUGAGAAUUCCAAAGCUGGAUGC